GCAGGGGUUACCGAGCCUGGCCAAAGGUGAUAGAUUCAGGGUCUAUUUCCGUAGGGAUUCGAGGGUUCAAAUCCCUUCCCCUGCACCA
rnacentral:tRNA from 1 species